rnacentral:rRNA from 1 species
UACGUAGGGUGCAAGCGUUGUCCGGAAUUAUUGGGCGUAAAGAGCUCGUAGGCGGUUUGUCGCGUCUGCUGUGAAAACCCGAGGCUCAACCUCGGGCCUGCAGUGGGUACGGGCAGACUAGAGUGCGGUAGGGGAGAUUGGAAUUCCUGGUGUAGCGGUGGAAUGCGCAGAUAUCAGGAGGAACACCGAUGGCGAAGGCAGAUCUCUGGGCCGUAACUGGACGCUGAGGAGCGAAAGCAUGGGGAGCGAACAGG